rnacentral:rRNA from 1 species
UACGGAGGGUGCAAGCGUUAAUCGGAAUUACUGGGCGUAAAGCGUGCGUAGGUGGUUGUUUAAGUCAGAUGUGAAAGCCCCGGGCUCAACCUGGGAAUGGCAUUUGAUACUGGGCAACUGGAGUUUGGGAGAGGCAAGUGGAAUUUCAGGUGUAGCGGUGAAAUGCGUAGAGAUCUGAAGGAACACCAGUGGCGAAGGCGACUUGCUGGCCUAAAACUGACGCUGAGGCACGAAAGCAUGGGUAGCAAACAGG